UAAGAUGACCUAGGAUUUACUGGAGUGUAA
rnacentral:piRNA from 1 species